UACGGAGGGGGCUAGCGUUGUUCGGAAUUACUGGGCGUAAAGCGCACGUAGGCGGUUUUGUAAGUUAGAGGUGAAAGCCUGGGGCUCAACUCCAGAAUUGCCUUUAAGACUGGCAUCACUUGAACACGGGAGAAGGUGAGUGGAAUUCCGAGUGUAGAAGGUGAAAUUCGUAGAUAUUCGGAAGAACACCAGUGGCGAAGGCGGCUCACUGGACCGUUGUUGACGCUGAGGUGCGAAAGCGUGGGGAGCAAACAGG
rnacentral:rRNA from 1 species